GGGGUGAUAGCUCAGUUGGGAGAGCGUACGACUGAAGUUAAAACUUCGGUUCAAGGUUAUACAAUAAUCGUAAGGUCGCUGGUUCGAUCCCGGCUCGCCCCA
rfam:Emmonsia pasteuriana TAMH 9510 supercont1.1052, whole genome shotgun sequence.